rnacentral:rRNA from 1 species
CCAGAAAGACUAUCUGGUUGAUAGGUCGAAGGUGUAAGUGCAGCAAUGUAUUUGGCUUAUCGAUACUAAUAGGUCGAGGACUUGACCAA